rnacentral:tRNA from 1 species
GGGCCAUUAGCUCACUGGGCAGAGCCAGCGGCUCAUAACCGCUAGGGGAAGGCUCGAAACCUUCAUGGCCCACCA